ACAUUUGAACCCAUUUCUCCCAGUCCAACGUGUAGACUGCAACUGGUUGAGUUUUUUCUCUUCUGCUGCCGGGUUGCUGCAGGCCUGCAAGAGAAGGUGCUGGCUGACAUGUUUCAGAGCUGACUGAACGAAGUGGACUGCAGGAUUUACUGGAGCCAGGAGAUGGCUGCAUGGCAGACAAGGGUUUCACCAUCGAGAAGCCACUAGCUGAUUGUGGGGCAACGCUGAUUAUACCACCCUUCAAGAUGACAGUUCACUGAAGAGGAUGCUCUGAAAACACAAGCAAUCGCUCGACUUCGAAUCCUCGUAGAAAGAGCAAUAGGCAGAGUCAAGGAAUAACGCAUCUGGGAACGCACUGUCCUUUCACCUUGUCUGCGCAGUCAACCAGCUGUGGAU